rnacentral:rRNA from 1 species
UGAGAAGUAAAAGUCGUAACAAGGUUUCCGUAGGUGAACCUGCGG